rnacentral:rRNA from 1 species
UACGGAGGGUGCGAGCGUUGUCCGGAAUCAUUGGGCGUAAAGCGCGUGUAGGCGGCCCGGUAAGUCCGCUGUGAAAGUCGGGGGCUCAACCCUCGGAUGCCGGUGGAUACUGUCGGGGCUAGAGUGCGGAAGAGGCGAGUGGAAUUCCUGGUGUAGCGGUGAAAUGCGCAGAUAUCAGGAGGAACACCAAUUGCGAAGGCAGCUCGCUGGGACGUGACUGACGCUGAGACGCGAAAGCGUGGGGAGCAAACAGG